GAGUUUGAUCCUGGUUCAGAUUGAACGCUGGCGGCAUGCCUAACACAUGCAAGUCGAACGGCAGCACAGCACGGGGCAACCCGUGUGGGUGGCGAGUGGCGGACGGGUGAGUAAUGCAUGGGAAUCUACCCAGUAGCGGGGGACAACCCGGAGAAAUCCGGGCUAAUACCGCAUACGCCCUAAGGGGGAAAGCGGGGGACCGAAAGGCCUCGCACUAUUGGAUGAGCCCAUGUCGGAUUAGCUAGUUGGUAGGGUAACGGCCUACCAAGGCGACAAUCCGUAGCUGGUCUGAGAGGACGAUCAGCCACACCGGAACUGAGACACGGUCCGGACUCCUACGGGAGGCAGCAGUGGGGAAUAUUGGACAAUGGGGGCAACCCUGAUCCAGCAAUGCCGCGUGUGUGAAGAAGGCCUGCGGGUUGUAAAGCACUUUCAGCGGGGACAAAAAGCGCCGUGUUAAUACCGCGGCUUUUGAUUUAACCCAUAGAAGAAGCACCGGCUAACUCAGUGCCAGCAGCCGCGGUAAUACAGAGGGUGCGAGCGUUAAUCGGAAUUACUGGGCGUAAAGCGCACGUAGGCGGCGUG
rnacentral:rRNA from 1 species